rnacentral:rRNA from 1 species
UGAGUAACCUGCCCUUGACUCUGGGAUAAGCCUGGGAAACCGGGUCUAAUACCGGAUAUGACUGCCGGCCGCAUGGCCUGGUGGUGGAAAGCUUUAUUGCGGUUUUGGAUGGGCUCGCGGCCUAUCAGCUUGUUGGCGGGGUAAUGGCCCACCAAGGCGACGACGGGUAGCCGGCCUGAGAGGGUGACCGGCCACACUGGGACUGAGACACGGCCCAGACCUCCGUACGGGAGGCAG